GAAGAACAGGGGCUACGACUGCCUCGGUGCCCACUCAUAGAACAGGAGUGUCACUCUGGGGCACUGUCACUCCAGCUCCUGUGCAGAGAGGUUCUGUGCAAGGAGAGAGGCAGGCCAUAAGGAUGAAGAACGCUGUAGCUCUGCCUAAGAGGACUAACUUUAUCUGGAACAGAGCACGGAGAAGUCCAUGCCUAAGGCUUUUGUCAACAACAGUGGAGAUCUUGUUGUAGAGCAAUUAAGAGAGAAUUCACAGCUUCAUCAUACCAGUAGCAACAAGCAAAUGGCAGAGCAAUCAGAAGUUUCACAGGGAGAAUUAGGGAAAGGAAAGCCAAGAAGACCUGUCUGGGAUCACAGCCAAGCCUGGGGUCAGGAGGGCUGUGCAUAAGCAUGAUGUUGCCCCCACUCAGCAGCAAUUAGAAUAGACAUGGAGAAGCCUUGAAAACGUGUACCAGACCUCACACAGAUCCAUGAACCAAGAGCACAAGUCUCGCUGACCAAAUACCGGCUGAAUAACCUACUCUGAUUUGGGAGCAGUUCCUAGGGAGCCAGGCUGAAGAGUAAAAUCACGGGUACCCAUGGCAGUUAGAAGACUGUGUGCAUGUUCAAAGCUGCAUUCUCUUAGGAGUGACUGGAAAGAGAAAGUCCAAGCUAAUUGUCCCUGACUGAACGUGAAGCAAAAAUGUAAACUCUGUGAGCAGUGAUAGUAGCUUCCAGGCCAAACAAACAUCCAACGAUAAAGGGUAAAAGUCUAACUGCCAAAGGGGGCUUAAACACAACCUUUGACCAAUAAGUGGUUUACGCUGACCCAGGGUUGACCCUUACGUAGUCAGGCUAAAAGAUAAAAAACAAAAAAACAAAAAAUAUGAACAAGGACGUAAGACGCUGAACGCUGUAGGGCAAAGUGACUUCACAAAGUUAGUUCACCAAAGUCACUAAAAAUAAAUAAAUGACAAAUCAACGACAGUCCCAGGGUAGGGAGAGAGCAAUAUCUGGAACUGAUGCAAUAUCUAAAUAUUUAGAUAAAGAUUUUAGAUAAAUACAUAAAUGUAUCUAAAAUUUCCAGUUUUCAACCACAGAAAAAAAAAUGAUCCAUACGAUGAAACAGGAAAGUGUGACCCAUACACACAGUCAAUAGAAACUGUUUUGGAGGGUCCCAGACUUUGGACUUAGCAGAAAAACACUUGAAAGCAGCCAUUAUAAAAAUGUUCAAAGAACUAAAGGAAAUUAUGCCUAAAAAUUUUUAAAAGUAUGAUAACAGUAUCUUGAUGAAUAAAGAAAACCAAUAAAGAGUUCAGAAUUAUAGAAAGGAACCAAAGGGAAAUUCUGGAUUGGAAAAAUACGAUAACUGAAAUGAAAAAUUUAAUAAAGGGGCUCAACAGUAGAUUUGAGCUGGAAGAAGAAAGAAUUAGUGAAGUAGAAGAGAGAUCACUAGAGAUUAGGGAAUCUGAAGAAGAGAGAGAAAAAAGAAUGGAGAAAAAUGAUCAGAAUAACAUGAAACACACCAAUGUACGUGUAAUGGGAGUAGCAGAAGGAAAGCAGAAGGGGAAAGGAGAAGAAAAAAUAUUUGUGGUAAUAAUGGUUGAAAAUUUCCCAAAUUUGAUUAAAAAACAGCUUUCAUCCACAUAUUCAAGAAACUCAUGCAGCUCAAAGUGGAUAAAAUGCAGGAAGAUUCACACCCAGAUAGAUCAUAGCCAAAAUGAUGAAAGCCAAAGAUGAAGAAAAGAUCUUAAAAACAGUAAGAGGAAAAUGACUCAUCACUUGCAAGGUAACCCCAGUAAUGUUAACAAUGAGCUUCUCACUGGAAACAAUGGAGGCCAGGAGGGAGUGGAACAACAUAUUUGAGAUGCUGAAAGCUUAAAAAAAUUAUCAACCAAAAUUUUAUAUCCAGCAAAAAUGAAACAAAUACAUUCCAAGAUUGAAAAAAAAAAGAAAGAAAAGCAGCUUGGAGAAUUUGUUGUUAGAAGACCUGCCUUGAAAGAAACACUAGAGUUUUGAGAGUGAAAACGAGUUACGCC
ensembl:lncRNA